rnacentral:rRNA from 1 species
AUUGAACGCUGGCGGCAGGCCUAACACAUGCAAGUCGAACGGAGCAGCGGACGGGUGCGGGAUGCCUAGGAAUAUGCCUGGUAGUGGGGGAUAACGUCCGGUAACGGGAGCUAAUACAGCAUAAUAACAGCUGAGCCUAGGCAGGAUUAGCUAGUUGGUGGUGUAAAGGCCUACCAAGGCGACGAUCCGUAACUGGUCUGAGAGGAUGAUCAGCCACACUGGGACUGAGACACGGCCCAGACUCCUACGUGAGGCAGCAGUGGGGAAUAUUGGACAAUGGGCGUAAUCCUGAUCCAGCCAUGCCGCGUGUGUGAAGAAGGUCUUCGGAUUGUAAAGCACUUUAGGUUGGGAGGCGUUACCAACAGAAUAAGCACCGGCUAACUUCGUGCCAGCCGCCGCGGUAAUAC